UCGCAUAUGUGUGAUUAUGUGUGUUCUAUAGUCUCUAGCUCCAGUACAUGUGAACUAUAUGUUGUGGUGUAAAUCAUUUUCAUUCUAUCUUAUAAACGUGUUUCUUCAAUAGCUAUUUUUGUUCAAGUCUUGUUGUCAUUUAUGUUAGCAUUUAGUUUGUCUCAAGUAAAAAAAAUACUAAAAAUACAGUGAAGAUAAUCUGAACCUCCCUAUGUAAAAUUUAGUUUGUCUGUAAUACUACUAGGAGAUGGGUGAGGGACUGAAAGGAUGAUAUGCUUCCAUGAAUUUAUUUGUAAGAAGUUUUUCUUGGCUGUGUACAAAUCAGCACAAAUAUGUGAGCCUCGGUUCUGAAAACUAAAGAAUUCAUAUAUUGGUAGAUAGACUAUGAUUUAGGAUAUGCUAAACAGAAAGCUUUAUAAGAUGGAACUAUCAAUUCAUCAUGACUUCACUUUGUCCUUUAAUUUAAUUUAAUUUAAUAUGGUUAGAACUACCAUGGUUUUUUAAGUAAACAGUAUGCUGGAUGUUUGGCCUUGCAUUCGUCCUUCCAUGAAUUCAUGCUUGUACAUUGCUAGUUAUUGAUUUUUUUGCAAGUCUUCUUCUUCCUCGAUCUUGUGCAGCAGCAACAAUUCAAGGUCAUUGUCAUGGAGCAGCAGCCAUAUAUUUUUCUUCUUAUUCCUCCCUGAGAUGACAUGAGAUGAGGCUCUGUUGGUCGGUCUUCAAUUCUUCAUGCUGCUGCUGCUACUGCUACAUGAGGACCCUCUUCAAUUCUGCAUCCGUUGCGGCCGCCGCAGCUUCCACCUCUACCCGGCCGCAUUCGCAAGUAUGCUGGCAUUUCAUUUAGGACAAAGAAGUUGGAUGAAGCAUAGUUUUACCUCAUUGAGCUAGUUCUGGGAGUAACGAACUCCUUGUAGCAGAACUUGUACGUGUGCUAGUUCUGG